rnacentral:lncRNA from 1 species
CGGGACAUGGAGCAGUUACAGCUCACUGAGGGCAUGAUCCUAGAUAGGAAGUUAUGGAGGUCGCGUAUUAGGAUAGAAGGCUAGUAUCAGUUUGGGUCAGUAGGGUAGGGCGUAGCUUGGUGGGUGUAUUAUUCUUGGUAUGCUACCUUGUUGCUGCGAUGGUGUACUAUUCUUUGGUUGCUAUUCCUUGUGGGUGGUGUAUUUAUGUCUUGUCAUCUUGUUAGGUGCUUUUUUGCGGAUUUGAUUAAUAUUCUUUGUCUUGAGCCGGGGGUCUAUCGGAAACAGCCUUGCUACUUCUCCGGAGGUAGUGGUAUGGACUGCGUACAUCUUACCCUCCCCAGACCCCACUACGUGGGAAUACAUU